AUUAAACCCAGUUCGUCAGAUAAGAGUCUGCCGCUCAUGUGGAGGAUCAAACCUGCUUCUCCAGAUUAGAGUCUGCCGCUCUUAACCACUACGCCACGCUGGCUCUCAAAAGGCACCCAAAGUGGCUGAGAAAACCUAAGGUGCAAGAAAGCAUACGCCCCACCCCCACUACAAAGAACACUGAACAACACUCCAGAUGAUGCAGCGUUUUUCCCCUUCUCUUUUUACCUGGGCCCGAGGAAUGUUCUACACCAGGAGAACUGUGCAGGAGAGAUCUCAUCUCACUUCCAAUUGGCCAUCAGACCCAAAGGAAUGCAUGAAGGCGAAACAGGCUGUGAAUGAGUAACAUCAGAUAAGAGAUCAGGAAAGUGUUUGGGAGCGGGAGAACCACAAGGAGAUGAAAAAUCCCGGCAUAACCUCCACCAAAGAGUCUUGGGAACAAAAGGGUCAGGACAGCUUCAAGAUGUACUCAGAACACAUCCCAGAUUAUUACACAGGAACAACAGGUAUCAAUAGAUAUUGACAUAAGGGAAUGGAAUCCCCCCCCCCCUCAAAAAAAGGCAGUAGCCCUGUGAAUAUCGGUUGCCAGGGUGGAAACAAAGGAGCUUUCAAAAUGGAAUGUUUCAGGGAUUCUGAGAUGCAUCUGGCUGGCAACUGGAUGGACCCUUGGUCUGAUCCAGCAGAACUUUUCUUAUGUCAUGAGGAUGUUACCCCUCCAAAUUGGGGGGAGAGAAAGUGGGCCAUUCUCUUCCGUUCCUUUGAGAGAUCAGCGAGAUUUACAACUCAGCCCUCCACACAUUCGCUCAGAGGCAGGCCUCGCUGAGUAAAGUGAAGCUUUACGCCCAGAGUCAAAUGAUACUUUGGAUUAAAAGACCAUCAACAUCCUCGGUAUUAGUAUAGCAGCUAAGUAGACCUCAAACACCAAAUCUGGGGUGCAGCUUGUUCGCUAGGCUGCUUUCAUUCACUGUGCUUUUCAUUUCCUUGUCCUUGUCUCUAGCCACGCCCCCCCACCCUAUUCAAGGAUGAGUAGCAGAAUACCUGCCUCACAAUCAGAAGAUCCCAGAUUAAGUUCCUAAGAACGUGAUUAGAUCAAUGGUCCAUUUAGGCCAGCAUCCUAUUUUACACAGUGGCCAACCAGCUGCCCUGCUUGCUUUCCAGCUCUGGGUUUAUUGUCGCUGAAUGUGAAGAUUCCCUUUCCUUAUCAUGGCUAGUAGCCAUUGGUGGAUCUCUGUCCCCCAUGAAUCUGCCUAACCCACUUUCAAAGCCAUCUGUGGUCAUGGCCAUCAGUUUCUCAACCAUCAGUGUGUUCCACAUUCUUUUGUCUAUCCUGUAUCUAUUGCUUAUUACCUUCGUUGGGUGCUUCCAAGUUCUAAUAUUAUGGGACAGGGAGAAAAAGCUCUUUCUAUCCCACUCUCCACCUCGUGCACCAAAGACUAGGGAAAGGUCCUGCACCAAUCAAAGUAGGCAGUACCGGGCAAGCUCAUCUAACUCAGUCGACGGCAGCUUCGUACAUUCAUGUACGCAUCCUUCAGACAAAGCAGAGUGUGGAUUAGGACGAGAUCAAAAGGAACGGGAGGCAAAACCCUUCAUGUCACGCAGAACUUAAAAGCAGGCAGAUGGGAGAGGAGGAAUUUGACUUUUAAUUCAGUUUCUUCAAAGAAUUUGGUCCUUCACAGCAUGUAGGCCAUGGUCCGUAGGGUGACUGCCUUGUGCUUCUAUCCAGAGCUGAAUGCUACAUACCUCUUAUUGCCAAAUCAUUUUCAUCAGUUGUGUAAGGCAAAAAAACCUGUAAUGUUACGCAUUCACAAAGACUCAGUAUUUUUAGUGCCCAUUAGUUUCAGACUUUUUUAUAUAAACGGGGGUUCUGUCUCCUCUCUCUUUUUUGAAUGGUUAUCUCCUGUCCCAUCAAAAACGUCUCUGCCUUUCACGUGAUAAUCGACAUCUCUUCCUUGUCCCGGUUCUCGUUCACCAAGUUGAUGAUGUUCUUAAGGUACUUCACAAAUUCCAUCCGGAUGUCCUCGGGUUCUUCUUCAAGACUGGAGUGAAUCAGAAGCAGCCUGUUCAGAGGUGAAGCUGAGAAGUUCAAAAGGAAAACAGAAGAUGGGGAAAGGUGAAGACUUGACAUGUGAAGUGGUCUUAUGUGAUGCCAGCCCCCAUGGUCUUCCAUGCUCAGUGUGGUCUUUUCUGAGUGGAAACAGUUCUCUGAGGUCUCAGGCAGAGAAUUAUCUUUCCUAUACUCUACCAAAAGAUGAUAGUACAGUUGUAUAUUCCUCCGCCCCAGAACAAAGCAUGUCGGAUCUUUGUUGUAGAAUACCCCGCCUGAGUCCUAGCGCCUACCUAGCCCUACUCCCCACAUCCGUUUGAAAGUCAUUCAAUGAACUAUAAAGGCUCUUGUGUCAAAGUACCAUGUUUCAGAAUGCACAAAAUAAUGGUUUUGCAAAGGCAGCAUGCAAAAAUGAAUCAUAAUUCUCAAGUUCAUUUGGGACUAUAUUCCAAUGCGAAGGCAUACAAUUUUCUCAACUGACCAUACUAUUGCCUUUCAGUGGAACAGAGUAUAACAUCAAUUAUCCAAAGGCCAAAACAUUUCUGUGCGGUUUCAGUCUUACGCAAGGUGAGGCUCUCUGCAUCUCCUCCGCUGCCAGGCUUGUGAUGUGCGAUGAGCAGGCACUGGCUAUCAAGCAGCUGCUGUUGCUGCACAAAGCAGGAAUACCACGUCUCUAUUUCCUUCAGGUGACUGGGCAAGUCUGGGUUGAAGACUAUGACAACACCGUGAGAGUCCUUCAUCAGAGCAGGCCAGCAAGUCUCAAACCUGGCAGGAUACAGUGGAUCAGCACAGUGAAUAAUCGAUCAUAUUUUAACAUUUGUUAUUAGACUGAGAUUUUGCAGAUUUUUACAUGCAGGUUGUUCAUCUGCAUGACUCUCAUUGACGUGGUCGAUGCUGGGUCACAGCUGGCAAACACGUGCCACUUCUGAGACACUCCUGAAGCCACCAAAAUUGUGCCAAGUGAGCCAUUUCAUAUUCAGAAAAUGAAUGUGACGCUUGUUAGGAAAUCUGAACUCGAUGUAAACUCAAAGUAGAAACACCCGAAGAAAGCCAAACAUAGGGACAUGGCUAGAAAUCAGUUCCGGAUAGCCUACAUAAUUAACAGGAUCACAGACUCCAGGAAUGUGUCCACUAAUGCCAGAUUCAAAGGUGUUUGAUGGUCGAAUUCUCUAGCCAUAAAUGACAACACCUGCAAUUUUUCAACCCCAGGUGGUCAAUGAAUACUUAAGACCUGGUUGGUCAGCUCUGGAAAACACAGUAGCAAAUAUCUCUAUGUUUAGAGUCAGCAACCCAUGUAAGAGAGAUCAACUUACUUUCGGUCACCUCCACAAUCCCACAGUUCAAACCGAUAUUCUGUGCCUUUGCUGUUUUCAUUGAUAUGGGGCUUCUCAUAUUCCAGGAUCCUACAAUGAAAUACAAAUACACAGCCAGACACAACAUGCUGUAAGUUUAGUUAUGUUCCUGACUACCCCUAGAAAUAUACACAUACUUCCCCAAUCCAAGGUCUUCUGCAUCAUUGGAAAAAAAUAAGCUCCCAUGUCUAUGUGGCUCCUUCCAUAUCAGAAGUACCUUCCUGCUACAGUGAAUUCUUUUUCCUUCAGUAUUCAGCUGAACUCAUAAUGCUCAACGCUACAUUCCGUCUGUCCAGUUCCUUGUACUGGCACUGCAGGCCAAUUAUGAGGGACAUUUCAAGGCGCAUGUUACAAGGGGGAUAGGAAAUCAUGUCCUUUCCCCUCAGGUUGUUGGUCUAUGUGUAUACCAAAUGUCAACAUUCCAUGUCUUGGGGGAAAGCCCCAACAAUUGCAGCAAUGAGCAAAUCAGUUAAAAUAGUCAAUGAGGCUCAAAUGGUUUUAUGAAGAGGGGGAAAAACUCACAAAGACUCAAAGCCAGGGGCCCCAAUGUGGUCCUUGUGGACACCACCAACAUCUUUUCUGGUGCACCGAGUAUUUUUUGGAAGUGGAUAGGGCCAGGCAGGGCUUUUGGCCAGCAAGGCUUCUGAGUGGCUGGGCAGAUUUUUUAAAAUGUUGCUUCCCAAGAAUCUCUGUGGUACUAAAGUUAAGCUGUGGCCCUCAUUUUGUAGCUGGCUCUGUCUCCUGCAAUGGGCAUUUUUGGCAGCCGCUUUAUCGUUGCUCCCACCACGCCAUGUUAGAAUUCCAAAUGUGCCUGCAGGCUCGAAAAGGCUGACUUUAAAGGAACAAGUUCAGAUGUUUCACUGCCCUACACUGGAAGAGAAGAGCUCACGGCUUGGUUCGGUAGAGCUGCACGUUUCACCCUUGGACUCACCUCACCCCUUGGGUUGGGAUAUAGCUGCCGAUGCCUUCUGUGCUCUCCGACAAGAAGUUUGCCAAAACAGAUUUUCCGGACUGUUACAAAGGAUUGCAAAAGUUAGACCAUUGUUAAUGCUAACACUUUCCCGAGACAAAACUAAUUGUUCAAAAGUUCAAAAAUAAUUCGCCAUUCUCAGUGUUCUUUAAACAGAACUCUAAUACAUACUUGUACUCCUCUGUUUGUUUACAUGUGUCUGUACUGUGGCAUUCCAGCAAGUAACACAUUUUGACAUGGAGAUCUCACCCUUCCCUCCAAGAAACUCAGAGCAAAAUCUGCAGCCAAGUCCCAUUUUAUCAACACACUAUUGUUAGCCAGGGUGUUCUACACCAGACACCAUAUGGAAUUCAAAAGAUGGAAUAUUCCUGCACUUCCCCUCAAUAAUAAUUCCCUGUUCACAGACAACUAGCAAGCCAAGCAUAAUGCCAGGCUAUAUCAGCACUCUUUUCCCCUAAAUAUGCUAGUUUUCUAAAUACAGAGAUUGUUUUUUAAAGUGUGAUGAACAUUCAACCAUGUGAUCCCUCACAGGUAGUCCAAAAUUUUCUACUCCAAUUUACCACCUCAGUGAGAACCAGUACAUAACAAUUUCUCCUUCAACAUACAGAGCGGCAUUACCCGGUCUUCACAGUUCACAUGAACACUCUUUCCACUGUGCCGUAAUAGAUCUCAUAAAUCAACAUAUAAGGUUACUUGAUUACACAGAAUACGAGUCUGUUUAUUUAGAUAACUUCUACCAUGGUUUUAUACUAAACAUAGCACACAAAGCAGCUUACCAACAACAGCUUAAAACAAUGUCAAAGGCCUAAAAGCAACAAAAACAUUACAGAAAACACUCUUGUCUUCUGGCCCGGCAUCAGUUAUGUACAGUUUCCUCUGUACAUGGAUCUUCCUUUCCUAGUGCUCAUGACUACUAGGAACACAAGAAGAAUCCAGCAGUGUUCAACAAAGCCAGAUCCAACUUGUCCAGCAUCCUGUAUCUAACAGUGGCUAGCUCAAAGAAAUCUACAAGCAAGGCAAGGAAGCAUAUUAUAUAUUAUUAUCUACCUAGAACUCAGAGAUGUGCCGUUUUUGUACACAGAAGAGCUCUGCUGGCUGAGACCAACCCAUCUUGAUUUCUUACUGUACACUUACAGUUUCUUACAGUAAUCCAUAUUCAGAUACAUUGCCUCUGCGCAUGGAGGCUCCACUUAAGUACCUUGACUUAUAGCUUUCUAUUUUGGAAAAUAAAAUUAGGUUGAAACUUUC